rnacentral:rRNA from 1 species
GAAGGUCCCAAGCGUUAUCCGGAUUUAUUGGGUUUAAAGGGUGCGUAGGCGGACUAUUAAGUCAGUGGUGAAAGCCCCAAGCCUAACUUGGGAACUGCCAUUGAUACUGAUGGUCUUGAGUACAUUUGAGGUGGGCGGAAUGUGUCAUGUAGCGGUGAAAUGCUUAGAUAUGACACAGAACACCGAUUGCGAAGGCAGCUCACUAAACUGUAACUGACGCUGAGGCACGAAAGCGUGGGGAGCAAACAGGAUUAGAUACCCUGGUAGUCCACGCCCUAAACGAUGAUCACUCGAUGUGUGCGAUACACUGUACGCGUCUGAGCGAAAGCAUUAAGUGAUCCACCUGGGGAGUACGGCCGCAAGGCUG